rnacentral:rRNA from 1 species
GGGCACUCUAAUGAGACUGCCGGUGACAACCGGAGGAAGUGGGGAUGACGUCAAGUCCUCAUGGCCCUUAUGGUAGGGCUUCACACGUCAUACAAUGGUCGGUACAGAGGGUUGCCAACCCGCGAGGGGGAGCUAAUCCCACAAAGCCGAUCGUAGUCCGGAUCGCAGUCUGCAACUCGACUGCGUAAAGUCGGAAUCGCUAGUAAUCGUGGAUCAGCAUGUCACGGUGAAUACGUUCCCGGGUCUU